rnacentral:rRNA from 1 species
UUCCAAGCGAGCCCGGAGAUAGCUGGUUCUCCCCGAAAUAGCUUUAGGGCUAGCCGCAAGGUGAGAGAUACGGAGGUAGAGCACUGAAUGUCCUAGGGGGUAUUGCACCUACCGAAGACUAUCAAACUCCGAAUGCCGUCAUCUUAUACUUGGGAGUCAGACUGUGGGUGAUAAGAUUCAUAGUCGAAAGGGCAACAGCCCAGAUCGUCAGCUAAGGUCCCUAAAUGUAAGUUAAGUGGUAAAGGAUGUGGGAUUGCACAGACAACCAGGAUGUUGGCUUAGAAGCAGCCACUCAUUCAAAGAGUGCGUAAUAGCUCACUGGUCGAGUGAUCCUGCGCCGAAGAUUUCCGGGGCUAAAACUUACUACCGAAGCUACGGCAUCAGUAAUGAUGGGUAGGGGAGCUUCCCAUACGGGUUGAAGCAUGACCGUAAGGACAUGUGGACAGUAUGGGAGUGAGAAUGUUGGCA